UACAGAGGUGGCAAGCGUUGUUCGGAAUUACUGGGCGUAAAGGGCGCGUAGGCGGUUCGGUAAGUCCUGUGUGAAAUCCCUCGGCUCAACUGAGGAACUGCACGGGAGACUGCCAGGCUUGAGUUCGGGAGAGGGAAGCGGAAUUCCGGGUGUAGCGGUGAAAUGCGCAGAUAUCAGGAGGAACACCGGUGGCGAAGGCGGGUCUCUGGGCCGAUACUGACGCUGAGGAGCGAAAGCGUGGGGAGCGAACAGG
rnacentral:rRNA from 1 species